rnacentral:sRNA from 1 species
CUUGGACGUAUUUUUAUCUUUAAAUAAUACUCACAAAAUGUCACAUGGUUUCCAACUUGUCCACAUAUUGGUGCUGUUUGCUUUCUCUAUGAGGUAGAAAACAUUCACCCCUCCCAAUUCCUAUAUCUUUAAGGAAAAAAAAAACCCACUGCAUUUUCAAAUUGUAUGCAGGUGUUAAUGUUAUGACUGAUGUUUCUCUCUCCGAUGAUUUUUUUGGCUCUCUGUCUCUCUUCCCUGGCAAGCACUCUUGACCUGUAGCUGGAUAGGCACUGAUAUAUCUCUCCCGGAAUGAGACCUUGAGGUGAAUUGGCGGUGUGGAUAGAGGAGUCCCACCAGGUAAUGAAAGGAGGGAAAAGCCAAAUGCCAGCAAACCCAGCGUCGGAGUGGUUGAUCCUGGUAUGGUUUCAGUCUGAAACAUCACCACACAAAGACCCAUGUGUUUAAACGUAUGGCGAGGCUGUGUUAGAGGUUGUGGUGUUGGGAUGAAGGAAGGGGCCGUCACUGGGGGCUGGCAUUUGAAGGUUAUAUGUCUUUUCCUGGUCCUAGUCUCUACUUCUUGAUCCAUCAAGAUGUGAGAAGUUCCCACAGCCUCAGACAAAGUCACCCCAUCAAGCUUUCUCCUCCACAAUGAGCUGUGUCCUCUGAAAGUGGUCAGUAGUCGAAGCUGAGAAGUUGCUCGGAGGCUGUUUGAACCGUGAAGAAAUGUUGUCUCUCUGGAAAGCCUGCACUUGGUGCUACAUGAGAGCUUGCAGCUUCCCCGACCUUGGUCCUAAGACACUCCUGGCAAACCUAGAGUUCUUACCUUUGAUUAUGGCUAGGCAUGGUCAAAAGGGACUGAGACUUUCUGUGCUGUCUGCUCUCAGGGGCAGCAAGGGCAAGAUGGCUUUGGUAGCUGGGACCUUCCCCAGCCCCAAUUAACCUAAAGCUUGCUGGGUGUCAGUCUUUUUCAAGACGGCUGAACCCCUCAGCUCCCCCCGGGAAAUGAAGGUUUAGAAUCUUGGUGAGCAAAAAAAAUAAAUAAAUAAAUAAAAAAA